rnacentral:misc_RNA from 1 species
GAUGAAGAACGUAGCGAAAUGCGAUACUUGGUGUGAAUUGCAGAAUCCCGUGAACCAUCGAGUCUUUGAACGCAAGUUGCGCCCGAAGCCAUUAGGCCGAGGGCACGCCUGCCUGGGUGUCACACACCGUUACCCUCGCGCCAACGUCCAUCGUUGGCCGCGGCGCGGGGCGUGCGCUGACCUCCCGCGAGCGGGGUCUCGUGGUUGGUUGAAAAUCGAGUUCGCGGUCGAGGGUGCCGUGAUGAAAUGGUGGAUGGGCGACGCCCGAGGCCAAUCACGCGCGACUCUGUCUGGCUCGGACUCCUGGACCCCUUCGGCGUCUCCGGACGCUCUUUGGCGAGACCUCAGGUCAGGCGGGGCUACCCGCUGAGUUUAAGCAUAUCAAUAGGCGGAGGA